rnacentral:lncRNA from 1 species
AUCGUCCGUCUUCCGAAAAAGUUUUGGCCUAACCUAUGGCCGCUCGUUCCAGCGCAUCGGUCAAAUCAAGUCGAACAAACUGGGCAAACGAGGAACCGAUGUUCAUGAAAAAUUCAGAAGUUUUUCUUGACUUUGCCGUGAAAUAUAUUUCACUUCCUGUGUGAGAUAACAGAGAAACAGCUGUUAGUUGCCCAGCAACUAAGAACUUAGCCGACCAAUUCAUCCGCCACGACUUUGAUGGAUCCAUUCCGUUUUCGUGGCAUUCGCAUAAAAUGGCGGGGGACAACAACGAAAAUUAGAGACCUAGUUUUUUUUUUUGUUAUUCUCGGGGGCAUGCAAUGACCCUGUCUUGAUUGACUGAACUAUGGCUAAAGUGGAACUCGUCUGUUGCAUUGCCUACCAGACGACGAAGAAGAAGGAGACAAAAGAGAGGGACGGACAAGAGGACAGGAGAGGUUCACUUAAUGACGUCCAUUCUACUCUUGACUGGCUCCAUUGACUUGUCGAUUUCGAAAAAAGAAUUCCCAAUAAGUACUGCACAAAAUUACUGUUAGACACUGAACAAAGGUGAAAAGAACGGAGAAGAAGAAGAAGAAGAAAAAAAUAGGAGGAAACGAAAAAGUUGAUCAAACGCGAAUCAUUAGCGUGCAUUGAACGACCCGAUGGCAAUCGGAAACCAAAGUCAGCAUUGACACUCAUCAUUCUUGCCAAAAUCAAAAGAUAUCUCACUCGCCCAUAUAUGGCCGGGACUGAUGAGCACUUGUUAAUCUUGACAUUUGCCCACCAUCUCAAACAUCAAUCCAUAUUGAGACAGCAGCAUGUGGGCGAAAUGAUUGUAGACGCGUGACGAUGUGCCGAGUAUUGAUUUGCCAUUCGUAGAAAAUUGUCUCACAAUCCCUUCUUUCGUUUUCUUUACAAUCGAACAUUUACCUUGCCCUCCCCCCUCUUCGUUUCCGACCAAAUUACGGAGGCAUUCCUUGAGUUUGGCAACGAAGGCACCAGGUGGCAGUUGACAGUUGUGUCCAGUUCGAGACAAUAACAGCAACAUUUGCUAAUUAAUAAAGAGAGUUUUGCCAAAGUUUACGAGCCCUAACAGUGGAGACAAGUUGGCAUCCAUGUUCAGCAAUCAGCACGAUUCAAACUUUUGGGAAUGUAUAAACAAACUCUUGUCUCAGAUAUAUAUACAUGUAUCUAUAUCUACAAAGCAAAUGGAACAUUGGCCUGUGUCGUCAAUCGAACAAUGGGACAAACAAACAAACUCUAGUUUGCAAAUUCUCGUUCAACUUGAUCAAUCGGGACAGGAGAUGAACAGGUGGUGCUUCUAGUGAGCACAAUUUACUACCCAAACGAGCAAAUUGCACCGUGACUGACGUUUCUCAACAGGACGUCCAGUUCCAGCCCACACAACAAACCUGGUUACUACCUUGAGAGCCAGUAGAACUAGGAUAACCUGGAGAGACGUGGAACUCUUACGAGCCACUUGGAGUUCAUUCCAUUCGUUGGCUACGAAGAACAUCCUCCAAACGCUAACAACCUCAGCUUUCGUUGGUUUUGGACUCUCCCAAUCGAUCAAAAAGAUAUCGACGGUACACUGCUCGCCGGUCAUCCAUAGUACACUAAUAGCCUAAAGGAAGGCUUACUGUCACCUCUUCUUGUUGCCGGAAGGUUAUGAACCAGUAGAAAGUAAAGAAGAAUACCACUGUUAGAAUUACAUUGCCCAAGAUGUCUGCUCCGUAGAUUAACAAACGGAUCAGAGUCAGAAGAUCAAUCGUUGCCUUGUCUGAACGUAUGUACCUAUAAAUAUAAGAUGGGCAGAAUUUAACGAAUAACCAUUAGGCCUAGAAUGUAACUCUAUUACAAACCAUACGACAAUCCGUAUUAAAGCGUAAAGAGCCCCAAAGGAGCUGAGUACACUCAGUGCAACCUGUUUAUUCGCCAAAUUCACUUUUGCAAAUUCAAUCUUCCAAAAUCGAACAAUGAAAAUAAUGGCAUUUCAUACCUCAAGAGAUUUCAUAGCUUCGUCCAUGCUGACGACAUUUUUUACCGCAAAGUAAACCAAAGGUGGUUUUCGAUUUUCAAGGCUGCCCACAGUUUCGUAGUUUAUCGUUGCAUAAAGUGAACGUAACCCGAGGGAUUUUUCGCCUUGUACCACAGAAAAUCUAAAAAUAGUUAUUGUAAUUAUGUUUUACUUUCCACAGAUACUACCUUAAAAGAAAGCAAAGUUACCUAAUAGUAAAGGAAGACAAAUAACGUAUGAAAUCAAUGUUCUCAUCUUGGUUACUACCAAUCGCCACAUCAAAGUUGAAGAACCUCUUCGAUUGAUUUGAUACUUUGAAAGAGGAUGGUGCACAUCGACUUACCUUAUUACGUUGGACUCCGCCACGAAGAAAAUUUAGCACUCUCACUGGAACGUUUAUCAACCUUGACUGAUUAACCG